GCCCUCCCCGACCAGAGCCCGGCGCCGGUACCUCAUCGGGCGGCGGGCGCCUCCCGCCCGGCGCCGCUGCCCAGGCCGCGGCCACCCGCCGCCUCCAUCGCCGCCGUCGAGGCCGGCUUGUCCAGGUCCUGAGAUCAAGAUAAACCACAUCCACUGCGCUACCAUCAUCUAUCCACCUGGCUAUGUCCUCAUAAAAGACCAUUAGUUCUCAGACACCUCUUCGCAAGACCUACCAAAGAUGAUGGAGGGGGGCCUAGCGAUGACUUCUUCCAGCUCCUUCAGCACGCACAAGUGCAUCGCAUCAGGACCCAUGGAUUGAUGGAUAUCAGGGUUGCUUAACUGAUCCCUAAUCCAGCCCUCAUCAGC